AAGUACUUAGUGAAGGGUUAUGCUAACUUCAAAGGAUUGGAAAGUACAAUGUAACCUGAGAACCUGGAGGUCUUGUUUCUCUUUAAGCUCUUGCUCUCAGUCCCUUGGAAACCACCGACAACCCGAAGAACUGCAUUUCAGAGGUUACAUCCCCUAGUGGAGAACAAAUAUAUGCAACUAAGUGCAAGAGCUCCAUUCUAUUUUGCAAAUGGAUUACACAGUCCUUGGGUAAGAAUUCUAUGUUCCCUGGGUGAAGGAGACUACUUCCGGUGGGAUGUACUUGCUGCAGUGGAAGUUAUCUCAGAUUCCGGAAGAAAUGCUUUAUCCACCUGCUGGGGCUCUGAGGAUCAAAGCUGGAUAUAAAGUUUCAUCCUUUCUGUUCAACACAAGUGAAUCCAACACAGUAAUAAAACAGUUUGCUGUUUAACAGUUUGCUGAAUAGUUUGCUGUUCUAAGUCAUUCACAUUAUAGAAAGAAUGAGGCUUGGCCAGGGAUUUAGCUCAGUGGUUCCACCGCCUGCCUCGCAAGCGCAAGGACCCAAGUUCGAUCCCUGGUACCAAAAAAAAAGAAAAGAAAGAAUGAGGCUUUUUAUUUAUUCUGAGCAUAGGUUUUUACAAAAAGUGAAAGAGAAAUGAAAACAAAAGUACAGAGAUCUUGGCAGGAGAGAGGAGGAGGAAAGGUUUUAAAAAACAGUAAUAAUAGUAGAGAGGAAAAAAUCUUUGCCUAAAUCCAGGCUGAAUGAAAAUAUUUCUUUCACUUUUCUUUCCACAGCCCUAGGGACUGAACCCAGGGCCUCAAGAGCUCUACCACUGAUACACCCCCAACCCCUUUUAUUUUAUUUUUGAGAGAGAGUCUUCCUUCGUUGGCCAGGAUUGCCUGAAACUUGUGAUCCUUCUGCCUCAGCCUCUCAAAGAGCUGGGAUUACCGGUAUGCACCACUGCACCCAGCCAAAUGCUUCUUUUCUUUUUGUUUGUUUUUGUUUUGUUUUGUUUUGUUGUUUUUUGAGACAGGGUCUCACUAUGUAGUCCAG
rnacentral:lncRNA from 1 species